GCACAGAAGUUAGCCGGUGAUUCCUUUGGAUGGUACAGUCAUUUAUUUCGUCCCAUCUGACAGCGGUUUACACUCCACAGAGCGUCUUCCCGCACACGGUAUUGCUGCGUCAGACUUUCGUCCAUUGCGCAAGAUUCCCUA
rnacentral:rRNA from 1 species